CAUAAUCAUUAGUCUUUUAAUUURRGACUGGAAUGAAAGAGUAAACCGGGGGAAUUUCUUUUUUUUAAAAAAAAUAAAUUUUACUUUUUAGUAAAAAGGCUAAAAUAAUUCUUUUAGACAAGAAGACCCUAUAAAACUUUAUACUUCUUCUUUAUUUAANNNAGGAGAAGAAGUAUUUCACUGGGGCGGUGGGAAAAAGNANNGCUUUUCUUAUUUUAAAAAGCGGACUUGUUUUAAUACCUAGAAUUUCUAAAAUAGAAAUAAGUUACUUUAGGGAUAACAGCUUAAUUUACUUAGAAAGUUCUAAUUGACAAGUGAGUUUAUGACCUCGAUGUUGAAUUAAAAUUCCUUC
rnacentral:rRNA from 1 species